rnacentral:rRNA from 1 species
GAUGAACGCUGGCGGCGUGCCUAAUACAUGCAAAUCGAGCGAACGGACGAGAAGCUUGCUUCUCUGAUGUUAGCGGCGGACGGGUGAGUAACACGUGGAUAACCAACCUAUAAGACUGGGAUAACUUCGGGAAACCGGAGCUAAUACCGGAUAAUAUUUUGAACCGCAUGGUUCAAAAGUGAAAGACGGUCUUGCUGUCACUUAUAGAUGGAUCCGCGCUGCAUUAGCUAGUUGGUAAGGUAACGGCUUACCAAGGCAACGAUGCAUAGCCGACCUGAGAGGGUGAUCGGCCACACUGGAACUGAGACACGGUCCAGACUCCUACGGGAGGCAGCAGUAGGGAAUCUUCCGCAAUGGGCGAAAGCCUGACGGAGCAACGCCGCGUGAGUGAUGAAGGUCUUCGGAUCGUAAAACUCUGUUAUUAGGGAAGAACAUAUGUGUAAGUAACUGUGCACAUCUUGACGGUACCUAAUCAGAAAGCCACGGCUAACUACGUG